rnacentral:rRNA from 1 species
UACGUAGGGUGCAAGCGUUAAUCGGAAUUACUGGGCGUAAAGCGUACGCAGGCGGCUAUGCAAGACAGGUGUGAAAUCCCCGGGCUUAACCUGGGAACUGCAUUUGUGACUGCAUGGCUAGAGUUUGUCAGAGGGGGGUGGAAUUCCACGUGUAGCAGUGAAAUGCGUAGAGAUGUGGAGGAACACCGAUGGCGAAGGCAGCCCCCUGGGAUGUGACUGACGCUCAUGUACGAAAGCGUGGGGAGCAAACAGG